rnacentral:rRNA from 1 species
UUCGCAAUGCCCGAAAGGGUGACAAUGCGACGCCGCGUGAGCGAUGAAGGCCUUCGGGUUGUAAAGCUCUGUCAGCCUGGAUGAAAGUGCUCCGGUUAAUAUCCGGAAUGCUUGACGGUACAGGCGAAGGAAGCCACGGCUAACUCCGUGCCAGCAGCCGCGGUAAUACGGAGGUGGCAAGCGUUGUUCGGAUUCACUGGGUGUAAAGGUCAUGUAGGUGUCCUGCUAAGUCGGGUGUGAAAUCCCUUGGCUCAACCAAGGAACUGCAUUCGAUACUGACAGGAUUGAGUACGGGAGAGGUAAGCGGAAUUCCGGAAGUAAGGGUGAAAUCUGUAGAUAUCCGGAAGAACACCAUUAGCGAAGGCGGCUUACUGGUCCGAUACUGACACUGAGAUGAGAAAGCUAGGGGAGCAAACAGGAUUAGAUACCCUGGUAGUCCUAGCUGUAAACGAUGGGCACUAAGUAGAGGGGUUUUA